UCCCCUGCUGACGGAGAGCAAAGCAGAGAUCAUCCUGUCCCUCUUCUCUUCUGGCAGGCUGCACGGGCAGAGAGAGAGAGAGGGGGAGAGAGAGAGAGAAGCAGAGAAUGAAGCUCCAUGCGAAACUAAAAUAGCUUAAAUCUGAACCAAAUUACAUUAUCAGAGGGGGAGGGUUUUCAGGGGAAGUGUCCGAUCCAGGGAGUGACGUUCGCUCUCGCAGUGCAGCAGCAGCAGCGAGGAGGGAUCCAAACAAACAUUAUCCAGGAUGGGGAACCGGGGCAUGGAAGACUUGAUCCCUCUGGUCAAUCGCAUGCAAGAUGCCUUCUCAGCCAUCGGCCAGAACGCCAACCUGGACCUUCCCCAGAUCGCCGUGGUUGGUGGUCAGAGCGCAGGGAAGAGCUCAGUGCUGGAGAACUUCGUGGGAAAGGACUUCCUCCCCCGUGGUUCUGGCAUCGUCACCCGCCGCCCUCUGGUCCUGCAGCUCAUCAACUGCCCCACAGAAUAUGCUGAGUUUUUGCACUGCAAGGGGAAGAAGUUCACUGAUUUCGAUGAAGUGCGUCAGGAGAUCGAGGCAGAGACAGAUCGCGUCACCGGACAGAAUAAAGGCAUCUCUCCGGUGCCAAUUAACCUGCGUGUUUACUCCCCUAAUGUACUGAACCUGACUCUGGUGGACCUGCCGGGGAUGACCAAAGUGCCGGUGGGUGACCAACCGGCGGACAUUGAGCACCAAAUCAAGGACAUGCUCAUGCAGUUUGUCACUAAGGAGAACUGCCUGCUGCUGGCUGUGUCUCCUGCCAACUCUGAUCUCGCUAACUCUGAUGCUCUGAAGGUUGCCAAAGAAGUCGACCCGCAAGGUCUGCGCACCAUCGGUGUGAUUACCAAGCUGGAUCUGAUGGACGAAGGAACAGACGCUCGUGAUAUUCUAGAGAACAAGCUGCUGCCACUGCGCAGAGGCUAUAUCGGUGUGGUGAAUCGCAGUCAGAAAGACAUUGAUGGGAAGAAGGACAUUAACGCUGCGAUGGCGGCAGAGAGGAAAUUUUUCCUGUCACAUCCAGCCUACAGACACCUUGCAGACCGCAUGGGAACUCCUUACCUGCAGAAAGCGCUCAACCAGCAACUGACCAAUCACAUCCGUGACACGCUGCCAGGGCUGCGCAGUAAGCUCCAGAGCCAGCUGCUGUCCAUUGAGAAAGAGGUGGACGAGUACAAGAACUUCCGCCCGGACGACCCGUCUCGCAAGACCAAGGCCCUACUGCAGAUGGUGCAGCAGUUCUCUGUGGAUUUUGAGAAGCGCAUCGAAGGAUCCGGUGACCAGAUUGACACUUAUGAGCUCUCAGGGGGUGCCAGGAUCAAUCGCAUCUUCCACGAGCGCUUCCCUUUCGAACUGGUCAAGAUGGAGUUUGACGAGAAGGAGCUACGCAAGGAGAUCAGCUACGCCAUCAAGAACAUUCACGGCAUCAGGACGGGCCUGUUUACCCCUGACCUGGCCUUCGAGGCCAUAGUGAAAAAGCAGAUCCAAAAGCUGAAGUCUCCCACGCUGAAGUGUAUAGAUAUGGUAGUGAGUGAACUGACCUCCACCAUACGAAAGUGUAGCGAAAAGCUGGCCCAGUACCCCAUGCUGCGAGAGGAGAUGGAGCGAAUCGUCACGCAGCAUAUCCGCGACCGUGAGAGCCGCACCAAGGACCAGGUGAUGCUGCUUAUUGACAUUGAACUGGCCUACAUGAACACCAACCAUGAAGACUUUAUUGGAUUUGCCAAUGCCCAGCAGAGAAGCAGCCAGAUGAGCAAGAAGAAAGCAGCUGGCAACCAGGGCCAGGACGAGAUCAUGGUCAUCAGGAAGGGCUGGCUGACCAUCAACAACAUUGGCAUCAUGAAGGGAGGAGCUAAGGAGUACUGGUUUGUGCUGACGGCCGAAUCGCUGUCCUGGUACAAAGAUGAUGAGGAGAAAGAGAAGAAGUACAUGUUGCAGGUGGACAACCUGAAGCUGAGAGAUGUGGAGAAGAGCUUCAUGUCCAGCAAGCACAUCUUCGCCCUGUUCAACACUGAGCAGAGGAAUGUCUAUAAGGACUACCGUCAGCUGGAGUUGGCCUGUGAGAGUCAGGAGGAAGUGGACGGCUGGAAGGCCUCUUUCCUGCGAGCUGGUGUUUACCCAGAGCGCGUGGUGGAGAAGGAUAAGAGCGACACCAGUGAAGAGAACGGCUCGGACGGCUUCAUGCACUCCAUGGACCCUCAGCUGGAGAGGCAGGUGGAAACCAUCCGCAACCUGGUGGACUCCUACAUGGGCAUCGUCAACAAGACCAUCCGCGACCUCAUGCCCAAGACCAUCAUGCACCUCAUGAUCAACAAUACUAAAGAGUUCAUCAACGCAGAGUUGCUGGCUCAGCUGUAUUCGUGUGGAGAUCAGAACACUCUGAUGGAGGAGUCGGCAGAGCAGGCCCAGCACAGGGAUGAGAUGCUGAGGAUGUACCACGCGCUCAAAGAGGCGCUCAACAUCAUCGGAGACAUCAGCACCACCACUGUCUCCACCUCCCUGCCACCACCUGUGGACGACUCCUGGCUACAGGUGCAGCGUACCGGCUCUGGAGGAAGAUCUCCAGCCACCAGUCCCACUCCUCAGAGACGGGCCCCUCCUCCAGGACCUCCAGCUCGCCCCAGUUCUCGUGGCUCCGCCCCUGGGCCCCCUGCUGCAGGGGGGCCGCCUGUGCCCUCUCGCCCUGGGGCCUCUCCCGACCCAUUCGGAGGUCCACCACCUCAGGUCCCAUCCCGCCCUAACCGCGCACCCCCAAGCGUGCCCAGCCGAGGAGUGUGAGACACCUCCGAGUGGAGCGGUGUGGAAUUACAAUCAGUGACCAGUGAGGACCACCGCGUCUGCGGUCCUUGAAGUCACAGGCCGGAAGACGACAUCCAGCUAUCGUGAAGGCUGGCCAAACAAGGGCAGCCCUUCACGCCCUGAAAGCCCUCUUCCUCCAUCCGAAUCCUAACCGCCCCAAUCCCUCCUUCCCAUCUCCUCCUUCUUCUCUUUCUGUGACUUAACUCUUGGACCCCCUCCGUGUUCAGCAGCAAGCAAACCUAAACCAAACCCCACCAGCACAACCGACAGGACAGUGGGGAGGCAGAGAGAGAGAGAGAGAGAGAGAGAGAGAGAGAGAGAGAGAGAGAGAUGGACACCCCUCCUGUAUCUUCUCCUCUCUUCUGGACCUACUGAAGGAGAGAUGCUUUCCUCUUGAUGAGGAGGAGAAGGAAGACCACCAGUGCACAGUGGGAGAUGUGUUUGUUGUGUUCGUCUCUGUCCCAAACCCAAACUGAUGUAAUGUGUGUCACCAACUUCUGAACAGUGUAGGUGUUUAAUCCUCUGGUAGAAAUAGACUGAGUGAUGCAACUGAACCUCUGUAGCUCUGAAUUUCCUCAUAUAUUCAUAAAUUCAUUUCCAUCUUCACCACCAGUGAAAGGAAUACUUCAGCGUUUUUCUACCACAGUGAUGUUCCUCCAUACCAGGGGUCGGCAACAUGGAGCUCUGGAGCCACAUGCGGCUCGUUUACUGCCCUGUCGUGGCUCCACAGCUGAAUCAGAUCAGUAGGUAAUAAUAAAAUAAUCCUCCUUUAAAUAAAAAUAGUAAAAUAAAGCUCUGCUGAUCCUUCAACACAGUUUAACAGUAAACGGUCUUAAACGCUGGACUUAAUGUAGAUCUGCUGAUUCACCCUUUAUCCCUGAAGAUCAGCUCAGACCGAUGGUCACCAUAGCAACACAGACAACAGUCCCGCCCAGCUAGCAGCUAAAAAGAUGGCAAAGAGAGAGAUUUAAGACGAACAAAGUAAUCUGGACACUAAUGGACUCCAGCUGGUUACAAGGAGAAACUGUCUAACGCUAAAAAGUCACGAAGCUGAAGUCUCGUUCAAAUUACCCCGUUCCACCUUAAACGGUGCUGCAGUUACAUUCCAGCUUCUCAAACGCCAUUUAAGGCGGAAUUGAAAAAUUCGAACAAGAAGCUGGCAAUUGAGAAGCGACUUCAGCCUCGUAUAAAGGUUUUUUUGUGGAAAGGUUUCCUGCUGGAGAUGUGAGAAAAGUGGCUAUAGCUGGGAUGUAAUAUUUCAAGGUCUACUUCAAGUUGCUAUAUUUGUUUUGGCAUAUUUCGAAUAAACAAUGUCCAGUCCGAUGUUUUAACGUGGCCCUUUUAGUGGUUGAGUUUUGACACCCCUGGCCUGAGGAUGACCAACACAAACCGAGCAGCAACAGAUGAGCUGAUAUCUCUGACUUUACAACUACAAGGUGGACCAAGAAGGUAGGAGUGUCUAACAGAGUGGACAGCGAGUCCUGUGAGGAUUUUAGCAUCACACCUAAUUUUUCGCUGCUGUGGGAAGAAAACCUCGUAUCUCCAUUUUCAGUUUUUGUCGUGAUUUGAAAAUUUCUGUUGUUUUUAACUCUGUGUGAAAAUUUAAUGAAGAAUGGUCCAAAAGAAACGGCCCAAAAUGACUGGAACAAAACUCUGGUUCCAUUGACUUCCAUUCAAAGUAAAGGAGGUUUUUUCCUCCUCCUGUAAAGUUACAGUUUUGGACAUAUGAGGUUUUCUUCCGGCAUCAAUUGUAAUCGACUGUACAGCAGACAGAGGUUAUGGACAAUGCUGAAGUAUUCCUUAAGCAGCCAUCUCUUCUCGCCUGAACAUCAUUGACCCAUUGGUGGAGGUUUUAGCUGCGAAUGUGCGUUUACCCUUCGGACACGUCUCCACAUUUCCACGUAGUGAAAACAGUAUCUUUAGCGAGGCGGGAUCUAUAUAGAAAGUGCAAUACGUCCAGAGGUCGGCCCUUUUAUGGUCCGGCCACCUUUCACGCCAUUUAACCCCCUGUAGGCCUGAAGUUUGUGAAGGUGAGCGUACGUCUAGUUUAUGUGGCUCUUGCUGAAUCCGGAUCAUCCAACACAGUGUUGGCUGUGCAAACAAAGCUGAAGACUGUUGAAAGUCAUGUUGGCCAUCUCCCCACAUUAGACUCGUUUCUUUUGCGCCGCAAUCAGGCUCAAGAUGAGGUCAUCAGCGUCCGUCAUGGAUGCUUAACUUAAGUCCAGUCUAUAUCGUGAUGUUUAUGCAAACUCGUCUCGAACCUUAUUUUGCCUGUUUGUAAUUUAUAGUGAACUUCAGGUUUUCAUGGAAGCCCUUUUCCACCACUUAAACGGAGUCAUCAUAACAAUGAGAAGGUUUCUCUUAAUUAUGGAUCUCAUAAAUACUACUUAGCAUCUCAUAACGAGGGCAUUAUCUCAUAGUUAUGAGUCGCUAAGUAAUUAAGACAUACUAAGUCGUAAUUAUGAUUUAGUAUCUCAAAAAGAUCUAAGCUCAUUAUAAGUCAUUAUUAUUAUUAUUAGGUGUUAAGUCAUAAUUGAGAUAGUACCUCAGUUAUGACCUUACUAUCUCGUAGUUAUGACGCAACGCAGUAAGUCAAUUAUGAGACGAUCUCACUGAGACAGCAAGUUAUAAUAAUGGGAUACUAGGUCAUAAUUGUGAGACAUAAUUAGGAAAAAGGAUAUUUUUAUGACAUCACAAUUAUGUAUCUCAUUAUUGUGAGAUAGCAAGUAGUAAUUAUGAGAUAUUUAUGAGAUGGUACCUCUGUUAUGAGAUGCCGAGUCAUUAUUAUGGGAAACGUCAUUUUUAUGACUAUAAAAAUAAGAUUAUAAGUCAUAAUUAGGAGAAAAGAUUAUGACAUCACAAUUGUGAACAUGUAUCUCAUUAUUGUGAGGUGCCAAGUCAAAUUAUGAGAUACUAAGUCGUUAUUAUGGGAACCUUUUCAUUUCUAUGACUUUCUAAAUGGCGAUUUUUUUUCCCUGGUGGCAGAAAUGGGCAUUCAUUGGUUUUAAGAAAUGGGCUUAUAUAUGAAUAUAUAAAUAUGUAUCACUUUUGGUCUAUGCAUAGAGAUCAUGAUCGUUUGGUCCAACGUUAUCAGCUCUGUUCUUAAAUAAAACAAUCAAAGCCCUUGAUAAAAAGAGUGGGCCGUGCGUUUGUUUGUUUGUUGUUGUUAUAAUAAGCCUGUUUGUACUCGUACCUGUUGGGCAUGCCAACACAACCCUCAGUGGGUACCACUGUGCCGUACCAAGGCAAUAGUAACAGUAACGUUUUCCCAAAUUGUCCUCAUUUCUUGCCGCCCCAAACGCAGCACCUUUCACCUUUCCCUUCAAACUGAGUCUCUCAGAGUCUUAGAAAAGAAUUUAUUAUUUCGGAGUAAAUAGUUUAUCAUGGACAUAUCUUAAGUGUUACGUAUCUUCGUGGUGCAUUUAUGGAAAUUGUGCUUCCACUGUUUAGAGACUAGUGUAGUCCACAUGUAUGAUGACUGAAUAUUAAAUUAUUAUGGGUGAAUAUUAAUCAAGCAUCUGAAAACAAGGGAGAAAAUAUGAUUGGGAGGGGAAACGGGACCUCUGUUGCUGAAAUGUACGUAUUCACAGAGAACGUGAGUAUGUAGAGUGCGAGAAAGACGCCAAUGUGUGCUUCGGUCCUGUAACUUCUACUGUUGGGUGAACGAUUUCGGUCCAGCAGGACCUGCUUUUACUUCAAGACAAUAAAAUUCAGUGUACCAAAACCGCA